GGGUGAUUAGCUCAGUUGGUAGAGCACCUCGUUUACACCGAGGGGGUCAUAGGUUCGAGUCCUGUAUUACCCACCA
rnacentral:tRNA from 1 species